UUAGUACUUCCUCCGUUCGGAAUUACUUGUCGUAGAAAUGGAUGUAUCUAGAUGUAUUUUAGUUCUAGAUACAUCCAUUUCUGAGACAAGUAAUUCCGAACGGAGGGAGUAUAAA
rnacentral:pre_miRNA from 1 species